rnacentral:snRNA from 1 species
AUCGCUUCUCGGCCUUUGGCUAAGAUCAAGUGUAGUAUCUGUUCUUAUCAGUUUAAUAUCUGAUACGUCCCCUAUCUGGGGACCAUAUAUUAAAUGGAUUUUUGGAACAGGGAGAUGGAAGAAGAGCUUGCUCUGUCCACUCCACGCAUCGACCUGGUAUUGCAGUACCUCCAGGACCGGUGCACCUCUC